GAGAUAAAAGGUGCCUGUACCGCAAACCGACACAGGUAGGCGAGGAGAGAAUCCUAAGGUGUGCGAGAGAACUCUGGUUAAGGAACUCGGCAAAAUGACCCCGUAACUUCGGGAGAAGGGGUGCUUUCUUAACGGAAAGCCGCAGUGAAUAGGCCCAAGCGACUGUUUAGCAAAAACACAGCUCUCUGCGAAGCCGUAAGGCGAAGUAUAGGGGGUGACACCUGCCCGGUGCUGGAAGGUUAAGGAGAGGGGUUAGCGUAAGCGAAGCUCUGAACUGAAGCCCCAGUAAACGGCGGCCGUAACUAUAACGGUCCUAAGGUAGCGAAAUUCCUUGUCGGGUAAGUUCCGACCCGCACGAAAGGUGUAACGAUUUGGGCACUGUCUCAACCAGAGACUCGGUGAAAUUAUAGUACCUGUGAAGAUGCAGGUUACCCGCGACAGGACGGAAAGACCCCGUGGAGCUUUACUGUAGCCUGAUAUUGAAUUUUGGUACAGU
rnacentral:rRNA from 1 species